rnacentral:rRNA from 1 species
AUGAACGCUGGCGGCGUGCCUAAUACAUGCAAGUCGAACGCUUUGUCUUUAAUUGAUAUGACGAGCUUGCUCUGAUUUGAUUUUAUCUGACAAAGAGUGGCGAACGGGUGAGUAACACGUGGGUAACCUACCUCUUAGCAGGGGAUAACAUUUGGAAACAAGUGCUAAUACCGUAUAACACUAACAACCGCAUGGUUGUUAGUUGAAAGAUGGUUCUGCUAUCACUAAGAGAUGGACCCGCGGUGCAUUAGCUAGUUGGUAAGGUAAUGGCUUACCAAGGCGAUGAUGCGUAGCCGAGUUGAGAGACUGAUCGGCCACCAUGGGACUGAGACACGGCCCAUACUCCUACGGGAGGCAGCAGUAGGGAAUCUUCCACAAUGGGCGCAAGCCUGAUGGAGCAACGCCGCGUGAGUGAUGAAGGGUUUCGGCUCGUAAAACACUGUUAUAAGAGAAGAACGACAUUGAGAGUAACUGUUCAGUGUGUGACGGUAUCUUAUCAGAAAGGAACGGCUAAAUACGUG